GGCGCAUUCGUCUAGUGGUCUAGGACGCCGGCCUCUCACGCCGGUAACACGGGUUCGAUCCCCGUAUGCGCUACAA
rnacentral:tRNA from 1 species